GUGAUGCAUGGCUGUCGUCAGCUCGUGUCGUGAGACGUCCACUUAAGUGUGGUAACGAGCGCAACCCUUGUCGUAUGUUACACGUAUCAUACGAGACUGCCUCUGCUUUGCAGGGGAGGAAGGAGAGGACGACGUCAAGUCAGCAUGUCCCUUACAUCUGGGGCUACACACAUCCUACAAUGGAGCCGACAACAGGUAGCGACGGGGCAACCCCAAGCCAAUCCUCCAAACGGCCCCUCAGUUCGGAUUGCGGGCUGCAAUUCGCUCCUUGUACAACGUAAAUAUGCGCCUUCCGCGCAUACACACCAGCUGGUGAAAAUCCAGCCAAAUUAAGCAUUUUGAAGCAAAAUCGCAGGCCUCUCCGGGUAACUGGCAGGCUGAAGGGCGAAAGUAGCAGUUUUCAGCUUGAAACUAUAACGGCCUUUUCUAGUAACGACCCACCGUACAAAUGGGGAAGUUGCUUACCGUCUGCACUAAGAAAGACAGCUAGACUAGGUAAUGGGUUCGAAGAUGAAAAUAAAUGGUGCGUAUGUGUACGAAGGGAGAUCCUUAAUAGUUCUCAGUCGUCCUACACGUAGUGUAAGAAUGAUUAAGUAUGAUCGAAGUGAUGAAAUCAAAUAACUAUAAGGAAGUCUGCAGAUGCCAUAGUAUUUCCGCCUCGGCGGAGAGAAGGGCUAACUUGGUAUGAAACUUCCUGGAGAUUAUAUUGCAGGAUUUAUUGAUGGCGAAGGUUGUUUUACCAUCGUCAUCUCCAAACACUCGACUAAAAAGUUGAGACUUGAUGCACGGCUACAUUUUCAAAUUGAGCUUCGCAUUGAUGAUUUGGAAAUGCUGCAAUCAAUCCAAGAAACACUUGGCUGUGGAAAAAUCUAUACCCUCAAUUAUGAGAAGUAUGGAUGACACCCACAUGCAAAGCUAAAAGUUUCUUCAAUCCAGGAAAUUACUGAAAAAUUAAUCCCAUUUCUUUCGCAGUAUCCAUUGCGAGCCAAAAAGAGACAUUCAUAUCGUUUGUUUCUUGAGGCUAUCGAGGUUUUCCGUAAAAAAGAGCAUCUCACGCAUGCUGGAAUAGAUAAGUUGCGAAACAUAAGAAGUGAGAUGAACAUUUUCAGUAAACGAACCGAGCGUCGGCUAGGGUACGGGAAAACCGUGUGCCCAGUCGGGAGAGAAGCAUGAAGCAGCAAUGCUCAAGACUAUCUCAGAACACUGCCCGUCAAGCCAGCAAAGUCAGCAACGCCCGAAGCGGGAGACCGAAACUCGCAAGAGAUCGGCCCCUCUACGGCGAGGUUGGCGAUGAGGACUAAGUCGUAACAAGGUAUCCGUACUGGAAGGUGCGGAUGGAUCACCUCCUUUCUAAGGAGU
rnacentral:rRNA from 1 species